GAUCUCACUUUUGGGGGCACCAAAAUGACGAAGCGCCUUUUAUUUCCCCCCAACGUGAUAUUUCCCCCGCGCGAACCUUCUGCUACUCGAUGAAUUUUCCCCCAAAACCUCCAUUUUCAGACCCUGCAAAUCCACCCUUUCCAGUGUUUUCUCCCAGCGUCAACUCCUCUAUCGUGACCUUUUGGACCAUUUUCCCACACCCUUCUCUGUCCUUCCAUUCUUAGUUCACCAAUUUCGACAACCUGGGUUCUAGAUUUCAUCUUCUGUGGUUUCGUCGCAGCAGCCCUUGGCUAGCACCUCGUCGCAAGCACCUCUGUUUUCAUCCCACUUCCUUCGGCAGAGCUCAAUAAAGAGGGUGCUGAAGAUGGUUCAGGCAAUAGUGGAGGUCAGGCUAAUGGAAAAAAUGGUAAUGAAAGAACUACCACUAAUAGCUCAAAGCAUCACUCGCUCCUAUUACAGCUGCUUGCAACUCAGAUUGGCUUUGAACCUGAUGAUAUAUGUGAUUUUGAGUUGCAAGCAUGUGAUACCCAACCGAGUAUUAUAGCAGGUGCCACAAAGGAAUUCAUCUUCUCAGGGCGGCUUGAUAAUCUCUGCAUGUCAUUUUGCUCCCUAGUGUUUUCCGGAGCAAUGAUAUAUGGCAAGAAUAAAGCAGAUCGAAAAUCAAUUAUGAUCCAUUGGAUUCUGUCAGAUGAGAGCUAUAAAAGAGGAGCUUGGUGACAAUGAUGAUGACAUGGCUGCCUUGGAGAGAUAGAUGCAAAGUGCAGGAAUGCCUUCAAAUAUUUCGAAGCAUGCACAGAGGGAGCUAAGGUAUGAUCUAUGAAGAAAUGUGUAUAAAGAGGACUUUAGUCUUCUGACAAGGGGCCAAAUAAUGUUACAGUGUGGCAAUAAAAGUAGUAGAUUCUUUUCAGGCCACUUAAGGUACGCCUUACUAUGCAAGCAUCAUACUGAACAAUUUAGUUGACUAUAUUGGUUGAGAACCUACAAUUUUUUUUUUUUUUUGAUAGGUUAGUUGAGAACCUAUAAUUGUCAGCUACCUAAAGAUUUCUUUUCAAUAAUUUUAGUUAAUGGUCAUGUUUAAAGUUACAUUGUUCACAUCUGUUUCUCACUCAAGAAAGAUUUGCCUACUUUCCUUGGGAUGGUUUGGGAAGCU